UAGAAUAAAAUAGAAAUAUUAGGAUAGAAAAGUACUUUAAUUUGUCCAUAUGCUUCCAACAUAUGCUUCCAGGAAUUUGAAUAUGAUAAAAAUCAAUGGAGACAAAUCAGCAGAGAAAGUGUUCUGUGUCCACUGACUGUAUGAAAGGUGAUUCUCGCUAUGUUGUAGAUACACUUUAUGACCAGGUGUUGUACAGGCAUGCAUUGCACAUGUUAAUAGUGCCUGAUUGUCUCUCUCGACGAGUUUGCUCUGAAACUUGAGCUGCAGUUCCAAACUCCAGAGUUCUUCCUGGUGCUGGAAGAGUGCCCCCUUCAGUCUUCCUCCAUUUGAUCCUGUGAGUAACCUGGUGAAUAUCAGUGGUAUUCUGUCUGCACAGAAUACAUAUCUGAAACUUUUUAAGCCUCUAUGAGUCUCUCUCUCCAGAGAAAACGUGACUCCAACGCCCGUCUGUAUGACCUGCCCAGUGCCUCCAUCACCUCCACCAAGCAGGAAGUCAUCAUUGCCGUGGGUUUCCCUGCUGGCAAGUGGACGUGGAUUCCUUUUUCUUUCUCUUCCUCACUUUUUACUGACAACUAUCUGCCUUCUUUUUUUUUUAUCUAGCCGGGAAAUCAACCUUUUUCCACACACACAUCGUCCCCAAAGAUCACGUGCACGUGAACAUGGACACCCUGGGCUCGUAGCAGAGCUCUGUAUCGGUCUGUGAGCGGGCUCUGAUGGAGGGCCACAGCGUGGUGAAGGAUAACACCAAUAACACCUGCCUCUGUGCUCCUACUAGUGUGUGGAGCACUUUUGGUUUGUAAUUCAUGAACAACCUAAACCACCUACAUAGCAGAUGGUGGUAAAUCUGCUACAUCCAUGAACCUAACCCUCCAGGUAUGAUGCUGUCAGCCAGAGUUUGGGCGUGUCCUGUUGCUGCUUCAACUUCUCUGCCUCCCUGGAGCAGGCCAAGCACAACAACGGAUUCCCUGAGAUGGCCCCCUCACCACUAAGCACCUCAAAGUCAAUGGCAUGAUCUUCCACAGUCACAAGUAAGUGACAUUGAAUAUUAUCAAGGGACUUCACAGCAUCACAUUCUCAAAGUAGGGAUUCACUGGCCUCCACAUUGGGUUGAAAGGAUCAGAGCACACUAAUAUACCAAAUAUGUCUUUAUGAAUUUUAUGGUUUACACAGCCAGCCCAAUUCUGAUCU